CCAUGGGGUUCUGGGAUGAACUCAGCUGGGCAAACAUGCACAGCAAUGUGGUUCCCUUUCCCUCGGGAACCACACACAUUGUGAGUUUGUAAAUGAUCUCACAUGGGGGGCCACUGUCAAAUGCAGGCAGACUCAUCUGCAGGCUAUCAGUAUAACAUGCACACCAAACACAAGUGACUUUCAUGCUCACACUCGGAUCCCAGGACAUCGUGUGUCUAUACAAACACUCCAGUACAUGAAAAAGCUUAAAACCAGGAACACUUGUGGUAUCAAACACUUCGGGUAAUGGUUAUUACACCUGUGUUUAAUAUCUGGAAACAUUUUCUUUUCCUUUUUUUUUUUUGUUUUUUUGUUUUUUGUUUUUCGAGACAGAGCUUCAAUAGUCCAGGCUGGCCUUAUACCUGCAUCUGCCUCUCCCCUAAAAUUUAAUAAAACUAUCAAUCAAGUUACAAAACCACAUUGGUCUAGCCAGGUGGUGGCAGUGGUGCAUGCCUUUAGUCUAAGCACUCACGAGGCAGAGGCAGGAGGAUCUUCAUAAAUUCUAGACUAUAUAGUGAGUUCCACAACAGCCAGAACCACACGAAGAAACACUGUCUUGAAAAACCAAGAAACAAACAAACAAACAAAAACAUUGAUCUAAGGGUUAUGAUGAUGAAGUGAGAGGUCAAAUUCUCACUUAAAAUUUUGUACUGGUCUGGGUACACCCUACAAUCCCAGCACUUAGGAGUCUGAGGCAGCAGUGUCUUGAGCCUGAAGCUGGAUCGAUCCACACAGCAAAGCAGGGAAAGAGACAGUACAAAGACAUCUGCAAGAUCCACUGGCACAGGCCAGUAACUCCAGAUACUUGGAAGGCUGAGGCAGGAAGACUUAAAGUCCAAGAACAGUCUGAGAUAUGAAAUGC
rnacentral:lncRNA from 1 species